CACCAGGUUGAUUCUGCCUGACGUAUGCGCUUGUCUUGAAGAUUUAGCCAUGCAAGCCAGUGACCGUAAGGAACGGCAGACAGCUCAGUAAUACAGUUAUAAUUUACUCGUAGGAUAUGGAUAACCAUGGAAAACUAUGGCUAAAACAUAGGGAGAAUACCGUCACAGGGAAUUUUGAGGUAUUUGAUACGAUUAAGUUUCUGACCUAUUAGUUAGAUGGUAAGGUAAAGGCUUACCAUGGCUGUGAUGGGUAACGGGGAAUUAACGUUCGAUUCCGGAGAGGGAGCCUGAGAAAUAGCUCCCACGUCUAAGGAUGGCAGCAGGCGCGAAACUUACCCAAUUCCUUGCCGGGAGAGGUAGUGAAGAGACGUGAAAUAUAAUUUAGCGAGGGCAUAUUAAAUGGCAGCCUGUAAACUGGAGGGCAAGCCUGGUGCCAGCAGCCGCGGUAAUUCCAGCUCCAGUAGCGCAUAUAACUAUUGUUGCUGUUAAAACGUCCGUAGUAGAUUAUUCUGUUACUAUGACAAAAAUGUAUAUCUCAAAUGAAAUAUAUAGCAUAGUACAAAGUAAAGACAGGAACAGAUGAUGGCAGCAGUAUUUAAUAGUUAGAGGUGAAAAUCGAAGACCUAUUAAGGACUCUCAGAAGCGAAAGCGGCUGUCAAGUAUCUGUAUCCAAGGACUCACGAUUAUCGAAAUUGAAUGGAUACCAUAGUACCAUUUGUAAACAAUUAGAGUGAGGACUACAUUACUCCUUACAAGAAACCAACGUUUAAUUGACCAGGGGGGAUAGUACGAAAGCAAUUUUGAAACUUAAAGAGAUUGACGGAAGGAUACCACAAGGAGUGGAUUGUGCGGCUUAAUUUGACUCAACGCGGGACAACUUACCAGGGCCGAAUGUCUAUGAGAUUGGCUAUCUGAGAAGAUACCCGAGAUUAGACAAAGGGUGGUGCAUGGCCGUUUUCAACACGUGGGGUGACCUGUCAGGUUAAUUACGAUAACGCGUGAGGCCCUAAAUGCAACAGUGUUGUAUGACGGACAGUGCAAACUGUAGGAAGGAGGGCGAUAACAGGUCAGUGAUGCCCCCAGAUGUUCUGGGCUGCACGCGCAAUACAAUAUAUGAAAAAGAAUAGAGUGUGAAAACUUAGAUUUAAUGUCAUAUGUACCAGGGAUAAGCGCUUGUAAAUGCGUUUUGAACAUGGAAUUCCUAGUAAUCGCAGGUCAUUAUGCUGCGAUGAAUGUGUCCCUGUUCUUUGUACACACCGCCCGUCACUAUCUUAGAUGAAUGUAUAGGUGAAAUGGCUGGACGAAAGAAAGGCAGUUGAACCUGUGCAAUUAGAUAAGAUAUAAGUCGUAACAAGGCUGCUAUAGGAGAACCUGUGGCAGGAUCAAUA
rnacentral:rRNA from 1 species